rnacentral:rRNA from 1 species
GAGUGGCGGACGGGUGAGUAACACAUGGGUGACCUACCCCACAGAGAGGGAUACCGGCGAGAAAUUGCCGACAAGCCCGCAUAGGUUCUUGCUUCGAGCAGUGAGAGCAAAGUUUUCCGCAAACGCUGUGGGAUGGGCCUGUGGCCGAUUAGCUAGUUGGUGAGGUAAGAGCUCACCAAGGCGUCGAUCGGUAGCUGGUCUGAGAGGACGAUCAGCCACACUGGGAUUGAGAACGGCCCAGACUCCUACGGGGGGCAGCAGUGAGGAAUUUUCCGCAAUGGGGGCAACCCUGACGGAGCAACGCCGCGUGCAGGAGGACGCUUUUCGGAGUGUAAACUGCUUUUCUGUGGGAAGAGCAAGGACGGUACCACAGGAAGAAGCCCCGGCUAACUACGUGCCGGCAGCCGCGGUAAUACGUAGGGGGCGAGCGUUGUCCGGAGUUACUGGGCGUAAAGGGCACGCAGGCGGUCGGACGCGUUUCGGGUGACAGCGGGUGGCUUAACCACGCGAGUGUUCGAAAGACGGUCUGACUUGAGGGCUCGAGAGGGACACGGAAUUCCGGGUGGAGUGGUGAAAUGCGUAGAGAUCCGGAGGAACACCGAAGGCGAAGGCAGUGUCCUGGCGAGUGAC